AGAGUUUGAUCCUGGCUCAGGAUGAACGCUAGCGACAGGCUUAACACAUGCAAGUCGAGGGGCAGCACGGUGUAGCAAUACACUGGUGGCGACCGGCGCACGGGUGAGUAACACGUGUGCAACCAACCCCGUACCGGGAGAUAACCCGCGGAAACGUGGACUAACAUCCCAUGAUACUCGAGAGCCGCAUGGCUCUAGAUUUAAAAUUCCGGUGGUACGGGACGGGCACGCGCGACAUUAGGUAGUUGGCGGGGUAACGGCCCACCAAGCCGACGAUGUCUAGGGGUUCUGAGAGGAAGGUCCCCCACACUGGAACUGAGACACGGUCCAGACUCCUACGGGAGGCAGCAGUGAGGAAUAUUGGUCAAUGGGCGAGAGCCUGAACCAGCCAAGUCGCGUGAGGGAAGAAUGGUCUAUGGCCUGUAAACCUCUUUUGUCAAGGAAGAAUAAGGAUGACGAGUCAUUCGAUGCCAGUACUUGACGAAUAAGCAUCGGCUAACUCCGUGCCAGCAGCCGCGGUAAUACGGGGGAUGCGAGCGUUAUCCGGAUUUAUUGGGUUUAAAGGGCGCGUAGGCGGGACGUCAAGUCAGCGGUAAAAGACUGCAGCUAAACUGUAGCACGCCGUUGAAACUGGCGCCCUCGAGACGAGACGAGGGAGGCGGAACAAGUGAAGUAGCGGUGAAAUGCAUAGAUAUCACUUGGAACCCCGAUAGCGAAGGCAGCUUCCCAGGCUCGAUCUGACGCUGAUGCGCGAGAGCGUGGGUAGCGAACAGGAUUAGAUACCCUGGUAGUCCACGCCGUAAACGAUGCUCACUGGAUCUUGGCGAUACACGGCCAGGGUUCAAGCGAAAGUAUUAAGUGAGCCACCUGGGGAGUACGUCGGCAACGAUGAAACUCAAAGGAAUUGACGGGGGCCCGCACAAGCGGAGGAACAUGUG
rnacentral:rRNA from 1 species